rfam:Clostridiales bacterium 59_14 Ley3_66761_scaffold_6946, whole genome shotgun sequence.
AAGAACGUUGGGCAAACCGAUCGAAAGAUCGGGACGCAAAGCCAGGUGUCCAAACGGAGUUAUCCGCAUGAUCGACCGGCUGCAAUC